GUUUAGCCCCGAUAGAAGCGGCAUCCUUUUUAAGGCAGUUGUUUUGUGAAUAACAAAAACAACUGCCUUAAAAAGAUAUAGCGCAUAGCGGGAGGGGAC
rnacentral:sRNA from 1 species